rnacentral:rRNA from 1 species
UACGGAGGAUGCGAGCGUUAUCCGGAUUUAUUGGGUUUAAAGGGUGCGUAGGCGGUCCGUUAAGUCAGCGGUAAAAUUGCGGGGCUCAACCCCGUCUAGCCGUUGAAACUGGCAGACUUGAGUUGGCGAGAAGUACGCGGAAUGCGCGGUGUAGCGGUGAAAUGCAUAGAUAUCGCGCAGAACUCCGAUUGCGAAGGCAGCGUACCGGCGCCCAACUGACGCUGAAGCACGAAGGCGUGGGUAUCGAACAGG